UGAUUUGAUUGAACUAGGGAUUUGUAGCUAAGCCAUAAAUACUUUCUGAUGGCGCUUUAUUUGAUGGUUUGGCAGCGUUGUAAAGUCGAGAUCUCUAUGAGGCGCAUGGUUCUUGAGCAUCGUAUCCAUGACAUCGACGCCUCGACUAUGACUCAUUGAGCAACGACGAUUGAAGAGGAAUGACAUAAUAGCAAGAAUUCCUGACAAAGACAUCAAAGCUAGCUCUUGAGUCAAGGAUGAAAAAAGUAUCAAAGUCUAAGCAUCAAUAUCCACUAUUUUUUUGUAUAUGCUUCUUGGAUGUGUUAUCAGUAGGGAUAUUAUGUUUACAUCGGAGCACCUAACCUUAGUGAUCUUAUGUGUUUGACAAAUGUGUACUUAUAUCAAGCACCUGAGGUCCUUCCCUUAUGGUACAACUAUAUAUGAUGUACAUCAAGUUCCAAAUUUGGAGAAUGAUGAGCAUAGUUUCUCUA